UGGGGAAUAUUGCACAAUGGGGAAGCCCUGAUGCAGCGACGCCGCGUGAAGGAUGAAGUAUUUCGGUAUGUAAACUUCUAUCAGCAGGGAAGAAAAUGACGGUACCUGAGUAAGAAGCCCCGGCUAACUACGUGCCAGCAGCCGUGGUAAUACGUAGGGGGCAAGCGUUAUCCGGAUUUACUGGGUGUAAAGGGAGCGUAGACGGAUCUGCAAGUCUGGAGUGAAAGCCCGGGGCUCAACCCCGGGACUGCUUUGGAAACUGUAGGUCUAGAGUGCCGGAGAGGUAAGCGGAAUUCCUAGUGUAGCGGUGAAAUGCGUAGAUAUUAGGAGGAACACCAGUGGCGAAGGCGGCUUACUGGACGGUAACUGACGUUGAGGCUCGAAAGCGUGGGGAGCAAACAGGAUUAGAUACCC
rnacentral:rRNA from 1 species